rnacentral:rRNA from 1 species
UACAGAGGUCUCAAGCGUUGUUCGGAUUUAUUGGGCGUAAAGGGUGCGUAGGUGGCUCGGUAAGUCGGGUGUGAAAUUUCGGAGCUUAACUCCGAAACUGCAUUCGAUACUGCCGUGCUUGAGGACUGGAGAGGAGACUGGAAUUUACGGUGUAGCAGUGAAAUGCGUAGAGAUCGUAAGGAAGACCAGUGGCGAAGGCGGGUCUCUGGACAGUUCCUGACACUGAGGCACGAAGGCCAGGGGAGCAAACGGG